CUCUUUGGGAGAGCUUUAUGAACCAAAAACGAAACCAAAAACCUACUACAAGUGUUCUAGUUCUAGAGGAAUGUCCAAGAAAAUGGCCCUCCUUCUCCUCGCAGCCCAACGUGUCCUUACAGCAAGAUGGAGGCCUGUGCGUUCCAGUGUGAUUUACCCGGGACGCUGCAAGCCUGGAACUGUGGCGGGGAGAUUCUGCCGUGGAUCCUCCUUUGUGGAGCUGUGUUCGUAAUGCCUCUGCCAUCUUGGAAAGAAAGAAAAGAAAGGACAUACUGAAUACCCCUGUAGACAACAGUGCACACCGCUGAAGUGAGUUCAUUAAGUUAUCUUGAACUCAAGUCCUUCCUGUACAUCCACAGAUGGAGGAAAAUAAUGAGCCCUCUGUGCCCUCUUGCUCCGAGGAUGCCUGAAGUUAGAAAUAUUCCAUCACGGGGACCUGGAGUUGCCGCUACAGGAAGUCCUGUCUUUUAAAUUAAGGCUCCAGCCAUUUCCUUUCCAGUGGCUCUUAUUGCCAAUGGGGCUCUGGACAGCUCACUCCCAGGAAAGCUUUCUCUGUGUGAGAUAAAGACAAUAGCGAUGCCUGCUCCCUACCUAACCGACAAAACUGGAGAGCAAAGCAACUCAAUAAUGUCUAUCGUGUGCUUUGGAUGCAUAGAAAGACGGGGUUUAGGAGCAAGGCUGUAAUUAUAUUGAGUCAUCGAUGGUAUCAUCGUCUGUAGUUUACACAUGUGGCUGUUGCCUAAGAUACUGCUGAGUAUAAUGUGGCUAUCAUGUUUGAUGUUUUAAGGACAUAGCAAUGCCACAAAAAUUAGUAGAAGAGUCUAUGUUGAGAAAAGGAAAUGUCCUUUUCUUUUAAAUUCCUAUACAACCAAACUUCAUUUUAGGCCAUCUGCUCCAGUCACGAUCAGUACUUGCGAUCGGUACCACACCCUGGCUUCACAAAGCUCUCCUCUCAUUUCUUUGACAGACGAUGCCUCCUAGAGUUGGGUCAGAACGCCAUGGUGGGAGGAUGCCCUACAGAAGAAAGAAAACGUAUCUUCAGAGGGACAAUCAGAAUUUGGAAGCGCAAAUGGCCAUGACUUCUAUGGCCAUGAUUCUAGAAAACCCCAGGCUGUAAAAUCUGUGCCCCAGAGCAGUGACCUGACCCAUGUCUAGGAGAGCUGAGCCAGGGCACCAUCUGCUAAACCUACCAUUUAAAUUUGCUUAAAAGAACUCUCAAGCUUAAAAAAGAACCACAGUCCAUAACCCAUCCUUUGGUAUGUCAGGAACUAUAUGAAUGCUGAGGCCAUGAGCAUGAAAAGGUUAUUUCCAAAGCUGGGGAUAUGGUUCAGUUGGUAAAGGGUUUGCAGCACAAGCAUGAAGACCCAGGUUCAAAUCCCCCAACCUCCAUGUAUAAAGCAGGAGUACGGUGGCUCACACAACUCUGAGCAGAGACCAGAGGAUCUCUGGGGCUUGCUGACCAGCUGGUUUUAACUGAAUCAAGGAGUUCAGGGUUCAGGGAGAGGCUCCAUCUCUAAAUAAACAAAUAAAUAAAUAAUAAGGUAGAGAGCUAGGGAAAUGGAACAUAAACUGGAGGUACCUGUCCCCAAGCCUAAAAACAUCAGUUUGAUCUCUAAGAUCCAUGUGGCAGAAAGAGAAAAAAAUUAAGUUCUGUAAGUUGUUCUCUGACAUAACAUCUAUACCCCACUCCCACACAUAAAUAAAUACAUAUAAUUUUUAAAAAUGACAGGCACAGGCUAGAAUGUGGUCCCUACACCAAGGAUAAAGAUGCUGGGGCUUUCAUUUGAUUGUGUUCACCUUUAAAAAAAAUAAUAAUCCCAGCACUCAGGAGGCAGAGCCAGGUGGAUCUCUGUGAGUUCGAGGCCAGCCUGAUCUACAAAGUGAGUUCCGGGACAGCCAGGACUGUUACACAGAGAAACCUUGUUUCAAAAAACCAAUAAUAAUAAUAAUAAUAAUAAUAAUAAUAAUAAUAAUAAUAAUAGUCAGCACUCACUACAGGUCCCAUCUCAGUGUGUGAAAGUCGAUGUUAUCACAAAGUCCUUUCCCCUACCCCCUCUUCUAUACAUGUGCUGGCCUAGAGCUGAGGACUAAACAGCACAGUAGAACUAUUCUCUUGGGAUCAGGCACUGUGGUACACAUCUGUCUCUGGAGGCUGGGGCAGGAGGACUGCAAGAUGGAAGCCUGCCUUGGCUAUAUAGUGAGAUCCUGUCUCCAAAAGAAAAAAAGAAGGAAGGAAGGAAGGAAGAAACAGCCUGCUUGGGAGCUCUUAGCGUCCUGUCAUGGGGAGCCAUCUUUUUAUUUCAUCUCUUAAUGUUCCCUAUAGCUGCUGUAACAAGCGGUUAACAAUGAAUUUAUUCUCUCAAGCAUUCAAAGAUCUGAAACUACUUUUGCUUUACUAGGCCAAGAUCAAGGGACCAGCAGGCAACAUCCUUGGCCUCUUUGCAGCUCCCGGUACCCACAGCUGUCCUCAGCAUGUGGCCACAUUCAUACAAUCUGUUUCCCUGAUCAUUUUGUCUUGCCAUCUUCUGAGUCACAUGCCCCUCUAGAGCAGUGGUUCUCGACCUUCCUAAUGCUGUGACCCUUUAAUACAGUUCCUCAUGUUGUGGUGACCCCAACCAUAAAGUUAUUUCGUUGCUACUUCAUAACUGUAAUUUUGCUACUAUUAUGAAUUGUAAUGUAAAUAUCUGAUAAUCAAGAGAUCUGAUAUGUGACCCUCCUAAAUGGGUCAUGACCCACAAGUUGAAAAUCACCGCUCUAGACAAAUGGGACCGCAUUAAGGGUCUACUUGGGCUGUAGAAGGUAAACUUCUCAUCCUGCAAUCUAACUUUUCUUGAGAACAUAUGCUCUUUACUCAUGGGCUAGUCACAGCCAAAGAUGCAAUGACACUAAAAAUUAUAGUCUGCUUUACCUACCAAGUGUCCCCACUGUGUCAUACAGAAAAGUCCCCUCCACAUUGUUCCCACCCUCAUGCCUCAGUCCCUUCAGAGAUUUCCUCACAAAGAUACAAAGUUCAGGAGAGGCGCCAUGAAGUUUAUCUCAACUUUCCUGGGAAUCAACGGCCUCCUAUUCCAGGAGAUCCCUUGAGUCCUUAGUGGUUUUUCAGUUAUAACCUGGACGUUCUGUCACAAUGGUCAUUAAGCCUUGUCUGGUCAACGAAAUUCGGCUGCAGUGAGGAUUCAGGCCCAGGUGGCUGGCCUCCUGCACACAGCCAAACUAUAGUACAGAAUCGCCUCCAUGCUUAGACCCAAUCUUCUGCUUCUAACUUGUACUCCUAGAAUAAACAAGAACCCACAUCAACCCUGUAGGAAUAUGUCAGACCCAAAGACAUAGACUUGAUUUGGUUUCUUAUUUUCGCUUUUUUUUUUUUAAACAUGUACAUUGGUGUUUUGCCUGCAUGUAUGUCUGUGUGAGGGUGCCAGAUCCCCUGGAACUGGAAUUACAGACAGUUGUGAGCUGCCAUGUGGGUGCUGGGACUUGAACCCAGGUCCUCUACAAGGGUAGCCUGUGCUCUUCACCACUGCACUCUCUCUCCAGCCCCUGAUUUGGUUUCUUGUUUUCAUUUCUGGGAAGCAUAUUCCUGGCCCCUAACUGAAGAAUCUAAUGACCUAGGCUCAGAAUCCAUUUCCUGCUGGGUGUGAUGAUGCACUGAGGAGCUGAGACAAGAGGGUGGUGCCAGGAAGGCCAGCCUGGGCUACACUGUGAAUCUACGGAAUGAAGGGAAGGAGAGAGGGGAGGAAACCCCCCUCCUCUAUGAAUAUACUGACGAUCCUCAAAAGGCCCAAAACAACCAUGAAAACUGCAGAUCAAUAUUUUUUAAAAGUUAUUAUAAUACUGAAAUUACAUAAAGCCAGGGUCCCAAAACUCUCAAAUUAUACCUCACCCUGAGGUGAAUGGAUCCUGAUCCAGUCCAAAACAAAGGGUUUUUUUCUCACGCAGUAACCACCAGCUUGCAGUUCCACACCUAAGAUUCCACUCUCAAGUGGCCAACCCGCUAGUUCCCAGUGGCACAGACUAGGUUUGCAUCUAUAUUUGGUGUCUAUGAAUCCAGCCGGGACCACAGUAAUACCAAGUUUGUCCUUGAACUUCAUUUUUGGGUCUCUGGACUCUACCACAGUGUUUGGACAUUUACAAGCAAAAGAUAUGUUCCCAAAGAAGGAAGUCAAUAAAAAGAUCCAUGUUUACAUUUUCCACGCCUUUCCCUUCCCUGCACUUACAGACCCUUCCCUGGGGCAGUGCCAGUCUAUUUAUUGGGCUUCUCUAAACUCUGCAUUCAUUAAAGGAAGAAAAAACAACCUUC